GGGGUGAUAGCUCAGUUGGGAGAGCGCUAGACUGAAGUGCACUUUGGUCAUCUAAUCUAGAGGUCGCCGGUUCAAUCCCGGCUCAUCCCA